UUAGAGUUUGAUCCUGGCUCAGAACGAACGCUGGCGGCGUGGAUAAGACAUGCAAGUCGAACGAGAGAAUUGCUAGCUUGUUAAUAAUUCUCUAGUGGCGCACGGGUGAGUAACACGUGAGUAACCUGCCCCCGAGAGCGGGAUAGCCCUGGGAAACUGGGAUUAAUACCGCAUAGUAUCGAAAGAUUAAAGCAGCAAUGCGCUUGGGGAUGGGCUCGCGGCCUAUUAGUUAGUUGGUGAGGUAACGGCUCACCAAGGCGAUGACGGGUAGCCGGUCUGAGAGGAUGUCCGGCCACACUGGAACUGAGACACGGUCCAGACACCUACGGGUGGCAGCAGUCGAGAAUCAUUCACAAUGGGGGAAACCCUGAUGGUGUGACGCCGCGUGGGGGAAUGAAGGUCUUCGGAUUGUAAACCCUUGUCAUGUGGGAGCAAAUUAAAAAGAUAGUACCACAAGAGGAAGAGACGGCUAACUCUGUGCCAGCAGCCGCGGUAAUACAGAGGUCUCAAGCGUUGUUCGGAAUCACUGGGCGUAAAGCGUGCGUAGGCUGUUUCGUAAGUCGUGUGUGAAAGGCGCGGGCUCAACCCGCGGACGGCACAUGAUACUGCGAGACUAGAGUAAUGGAGGGGGAACCGGAAUUCUCGGUGUAGCAGUGAAAUGCGUAGAUAUCGAGAGGAACACUCGUGGCGAAGGCGGGUUCCUGGACAUUAACUGACGCUGAGGCACGAAGGCCAGGGGAGCGAAAGGGAUUAGAUACCCCUGUAGUCCUGGCAGUAAACGGUGCACGCUUGGUGUGCGGGGAAUCGACCCCCUGCGUGCCGGAGCUAACGCGUUAAGCGUGCCGCCUGGGGAGUACGGUCGCAAGAUUAAAACUCAAAGAAAUUGACGGGGACCCGCACAAGCGGUGGAGUAUGUGGCUUAAUUCGAUGCAACGCGAAGAACCUUACCUGGGCUUGACAUGUAAUGAACAACAUGUGAAAGCAUGCGACUCUUCGGAGGCGUUACACAGGUGCUGCAUGGCCGUCGUCAGCUCGUGUCGUGAGAUGUUUGGUUAAGUCCAGCAACGAGCGCAACCCCUGUUGCCAGUUACCAGCACGUGAAGGUGGGGACUCUGGCGAGACUGCCCAGAUCAACUGGGAGGAAGGUGGGGACGACGUCAGGUCAGUAUGGCCCUUAUGCCCAGGGCUGCACACGUACUACAAUGCCCAGUACAGAGGGGGCCGAAGCCGCGAGGCGGAGGAAAUCCUGAAAACUGGGCCCAGUUCGGACUGUAGGCUGCAACCCGCCUACACGAAGCCGGAAUCGCUAGUAAUGGCGCAUCAGCUACGGCGCCGUGAAUACGUUCCCGGGUCUUGCACUCACCGCCCGUCA
rnacentral:rRNA from 1 species